rnacentral:rRNA from 1 species
UACGUAGGGGGCAGGCGUUGUCCGGAAUCAUUGGGCGUAAAGAGCGUGUAGGCGGCCAGAAAAGUCCGCUGUGAAAACUCGAGGCUCAACUUCGAGCUGUCGGUGGAAACUUUCUGGCUAGAGUCCGGAAGAGGAGAAUGGAAUUCCUGGUGUAGCGGUGAAAUGCGCAGAUAUCAGGAAGAACACCCGUGGCGAAGGCGGUUCUCUGGGACGGUACUGACGCUGAGACGCGAAAGCGUGGGGAGCGAACAGG